rnacentral:rRNA from 1 species
CACAGGACUCUCGGCAACGGAUAUCUCGGCUCUCGCAUCGAUGAAGAACGUAGCAAAAUGCGAUACCUGGUGUGAAUUGCAGGAUCCCGUGAACCAUCGAGUUUUUGAACGCAAGUUGCGCCUGAGGCCUUUUGGCUGAGGGCACGUCUGACUGGGCGUCACGC